CCAGAUUACAAAUUUGUAAGUCCAAAAUUAUACAAUGAAGUCUACACUGCUAAAGAAUCCAGCACAUUAAAAGCUGAUAAUCCGAAAAAAUCUAAAGGAACAAAAAUACAGUAAAAAUGAAGGCUUCUACUGAUUCCAGGUUUCCCUUUGAUUACUUCUUCGAAUCCAAUGUGCCAAAUCUGCAAGAACUCAACUACAGCAUUGCUUCUUACAAAGCUACUUGCCCAGGCUCCCAACAUGAGACUUCUUAUGGCUAAAUCAACCUUGUUUCCUAAGUAUCUCAUGGAUCUGACCAUGGAAAAGGUCAGAUUCCCAAGAUUACUUUAGUCAUACUACCUUGACAGACCUAAGUUAAAGCUUAAGAAUGCAAUAAUAAUAAAAGAAGAUGAUUGUUCAUGAGUUUAACCAUAUUGAAGGUUAAACACAUAAACCAUUAAAGGACUUCAUCUCAAAAUCCUAGCAGCCUCAUCUUCUUUCCCAAAACAUGUAAAUCCUACCUCAAAAGCUUUCAGAACCAAUUGGUCCAACCAACUAGUGGCUAAACCAAUAGGCUACAGCUUAUGAUCAGACAACCCAAAAGAUAAAUGAAAGCAACAUUUUGGAAAGAAAAAGAAUCAGAUAAAGGAGAGAAAGAAAGCAUUGUGAACUGAACCUAAAUACUGUCAUAAGAUACAGCUAUUGAUGUUAUUUUGACACCACUUUUCUACAUGUUGAAAUGCACAGAAAGACACAUGAAAAAGUUGAUGAAGAGUAAUGAACAACACAUUAAUUUCUACUGUUGACACAUGCAUCCAUACACACAUAGUCAUGAAUAACUUCAGAUUGCACAAGUAGAGUCAUUCUCAUAUCCAAAAUAUGGUUACAUACCUAGAGAUGAUUCAAACAAGACCAAAUAAAGGUCACUAGAACAGCUAAUUCUUCCAGAAUAGUGAGCAACAGCAGGCAGCCAAACAGACAACCAAAUCAGAAACCAACUUCAGCUUUCAAAAACCCAGAGAUUUCAACUCAAGAAGACCAAGAGAAGUUCUUCUACUUCAAGUCAUUUUUAGCUUUUCAGAAAACCAAAGAAGAAAGUUUUUCUCAAAGUUUGAAACUUAGUCUUUUUAGCAGAAGAAUGAUUUUUUGUGUAGUAAAUCAGUGCUAAACAAAUCUCUGUGUGUGAGUGAGUGAUGUUCCCCUUUAUAGAGUGUGCAAGAAAUGGCAUCAAAAGGGAAUAUUCUAACCUAAAUUCCUAAAUUUCAUAAUAGUACAAACCUUUCUAUACAGCUGUCUGUCCCUUUUCUUAUCCAAUAUUAGCAUUUUUGCUAAGGAUAGGGACAGUUGUCCUAAAUACUAGAACCUUCUGAUUUUAGCCUAAGUGAAAGUCCAAUUUUACCCCCUAGGCUAUCCCUUAUUUCAG
rnacentral:lncRNA from 1 species